rnacentral:rRNA from 1 species
GACGAACGCUGGCGGCGUGCUUAACACAUGCCAGUCGAACGGAAAGGCCCUGCUUUUGUGGGGUGCUCGAGUGGCGAACGGGUGAGUGACACGUGAGUAACCUGCCCUUGACUUUGGGAUAACUUCAGGAAACUGGGGCUAAUACCGGAUAGGAGCUCCUGCUGCAUGGUGGGGGUUGGAAAGUUUCGGCGGUUGGGGAUGGACUCGCGGCUUAUCAGCUUGUUGGUGGGGUAGUGGCUUACCAAGGCUUUGACGGGUAGCCGGCCUGAGAGGGUGACCGGCCACAUUGGGACUGAGAUACGGCCCAGACUCCUACGGGAGGCAGCAGUGGGGAAUAUUGCACAAUGGGCGGAAGCCUGAUGCAGCAACGCCGCGUGCGGGAUGACGGCCUUCGGGUUGUAAACCGCUUUCGCCUGUGACGAAGCGUGAGUGACGGUAAUGGGUAAAGAAGCACCGGCUAACUACGUG